UCCUGCCGAGUGUCGGCUCGGUUUUUUCCCUUUUAUCCUGCAGGCGCCAAAUUCUGCGGGGCACCAGAAGGCUAAAAGGGAAAAGACCAAGCUGGUGCUUGGCAGAA
rnacentral:miRNA from 1 species